AGUCAAAAUUUCUUUAUUUGUUUAGACUAAUAAAUAGUUCUUACAAAUCGUCAUUUUGCUCUUAAGGAGCCUCUACAUCAGGGUUUCCCAAUUUUUUUUUUGCCAAGGAACCCUAAUUGAUUAUACUUUUCCUAGCGGAACCCCCGUACUACUCCGCCCGCACGCCCUGCCCCUCCCUUGUGCGUAAACAAGUCGGUGCGAGCGAACAACGUCGGUCACGAAACGUGGGAUAAUAUUUUUUAUGGAACCCUUGCGGCCUUUCCACGGAACCCCAGGGUUCCGCGGACCACCUUUCGGGAACCGCUGGUCUAGAACAGAAAACA